CAUGUCUGGUGGGUGUCUGAGGCUGCGUGCCUGAGGAUCAACCACGGGAGGGCCUCCCUGGGAAUGCUGUUCUGCGAUCAUUGUCACUUCCUGCUGGCCCAGCGCCGGCCCACGUCAGUCAGAGCUGUCCUGGUCGGUGCUUGGCCAUGGCACCGGUCAGCACCCGCAGGGGCUGUGCCCAGAGUGAGUGUGGGUGAGGCCAGUAUGUAGGCAGGGGAAUGUGGAAGCUGGGAGGAGGAGGAAUGUGGGCCAUUGUGGAUGCCAUGUUAAUUGUUUUCAGGGCUAAGAAGAGGGCAUAGACACAUCGUCACUUCUUGGAGCUGGAGCGCUGGAUCUCAACCAGCAAGGACAACGACCCUGACAUUCCAGUGGUUUCUAUAUGGGAGUUCCUUGUUUUGCGCCAGCACAGCAGAAAUUUCCAGAUAUUCCCAGCACUGUCUGAAUUCUGUUGGUAGAACCCACUGACUCUACUGGAAGAAGGGAAGGCCCACACCACUUCUGUCUGUGAAGGGGACGGCAACAAGGGCUCAGGGAUCUUUUACGCUGAAGACAGAAGCAUCUUGUCAGUUCACAUCCCAGAUUAGAUGACUUCUGGGUAAGCAAGUAUGGUGUGGGGUUUUUUUGUUUGUGUUUUUUUGUUUGGUUGGUUUUUUGUUUGGUUGGUUUUGGUUUGUUGGUUUUUGUUGUUGUUUUGUGUGGGUUUUUUUGGUUUGGUUUGGUUUUUAUUUUGUUUGUUUGUUUGUUUAAUUGAGUAUAGAAAAUAAAGGGUCAUUAUAUGCAGGUAUCUAUUAGGUUGGUGGAAAAGUAAUUGUGGUUUUGGACCAUGAAUUCUGAAUCAUAGAAUCGUUUGGAAGACACCUCAGUAUCAUCAAGUCCAACUGUAACCUAACUCUAGCACUAAACCAUGUCCCUGAGAACCUUGUCUAUAAACCUUUUAAACACCUCCACAUAUGGUGGCUCCACCAUUUCCCUGGGCAGCCUGUUCCACUGCUUCACAACCCUCUCCUUGAAGAAAUGUUUCCUAAUAUCAAAUCUGAACCUUCCCUGGUGUAACUUGAGGCCAUUUCCUCUUGUCCUAUCACUUGCUACUUGGGAGAAGAGGCCAACACUCUCCAUGUUACAACCUCCUUUCAGGUAGUUGUAAACAGCAAUAAGGUCUCCCCUCAGCCUCCUUUUCUCCAGCUUAAACAGCCCCAGUUCCCCCAACCACUCCUCAUAAGACUUGUACUCUAAAUCAUUAUAACUAGGCUCAAACACAUCUUUAUUAAUCAAAAUAGGAACCAUUACAAUCAACCCAUUUUUGCCAAUCAGAAAUAAGUUGAUUUAUUCCUGUAGCAUAAAAAUCCAUGUUUUGGUAUUCAACGAACUCCUGGAAAGCAUUUUCUGCAUCCU